AACAUUUUCAAAAGAAAGAGCUCAACUUACAUAUAACUUAUUUACUUACACUUACAUAUAAAUGUAGCGACUCAGAGAAGUCAGCAAGAACAAUAAUUACCGUUCGUUUAUCGAAUAGUAUACGAUAAUCGUUCGUCUAUCGAGUAAUAAUAAUUAUCAUUUGUCUAUCGAGCAUAUUAAUUAAUUACCGUUCGUCAACCGAAUAAUUACUAUUGUCUAUCGAAGAGUUAGUUAUCGUUUUGUCAACCGAAGAAUUUUAUAUCCGUCAGUCUGUCAGUCAAUUGUCAACAUCGAAAUCAAGUUAGCCGAAAGUGGAGCUUGUUGCCAAUUGCAUUAAACGUCAGUUAACGCUACCUUCUCGUUGGCGACUAAACAGAAUGUAACAAUUAUAAACAGAGUCAGCGGACA
rnacentral:misc_RNA from 1 species